GGAGCUACCAAAUCUGCAGCUCAGUUUUUCAAAAACCACCUCGUGAUGUGCACACCCUGGAGCCGCCAUCCCCGCCCUGGUGCGAGCUCUUCGCUCCCCAGCCCCGGCCCCUCUUCCAGGUUCUUUUCGAGUCUCCCCCGGGCCUCCGCAGACGCCGGCUCCAGCCAGGGGCCCGUCUCCCCGCUGUCGCCCCAACUUCUGCAGCCCAGGAGCUGCUCCCGGACGACGGCGCCUGGACCGCGCCGAGAGUGGGGCUGUGUUUUGUCAACUAGGCAACACCAGACACGCGGACGAGUCCAGAAAAUUAUACUGAUGACACCCACGGCCCCCACUCAAGAGUAAACAUAAAACGUUUUGCUUCAUUUACUUGGUACUUAUUAAAGAAAUAUAAAAUUAGACCUAACUAGAGCCCUACCCUUAUUUCUCCUUCCUCCCAAUCACUGGGCUCAAGUGGGUUUACGAAAACGACGUCAUGCUGAAUAAUCUUUUGCAACUUUUCUCAUUUCCUGUUAUGUUUUGGAGAUUCAUCUUUUUAGAUAUUGACUAUUCAUUUUCUAUGAUGGAAAAGGACGCUCUGGCUAUUUUGUAUCCUCAACAAAAGUAUGAUCUUCCCUGCUCCCAUUCUUUCAGUGUGGUUAUAUGAUAAUUUUUGCUCUCCAACAGAAUAGUGGAAGACAUGGCUGAGUCUAUGAAUGGAGCACUUGGACUUCUUGCUCCACCCGGACCGGUCGCUCUGUGGGGCCGACUGCUGCCCCCACCAUCAUCCUGAGGGUCCCUUCAUCCCCCGUCCUCUAACCUGCUUCCUGCAUCCCCCGUUGUGCUCGCACUUCAUGUACUCCUUCACUGUAGUGGAGAACAGUCCCCACUAGUUUCCUGAGAAAAAAAAGAGUACAUAAAACAUAAAACCCA